rnacentral:rRNA from 1 species
AUUGAACGCUGGCGGCAGGCCUAACACAUGCAAGUCGAGCGGAUGAAGGGAGCUUGCUCCUGGAUUCAGCGGCGGACGGGUGAGUAAUGCCUAGGAAUCUGCCUGGUAGUGGGGGAUAACGUCCGGAAACGGGCGCUAAUACCGCAUACGUCCUGAGGGAGAAAGUGGGGGAUCUUCGGACCUCACGCUAUCAGAUGAGCCUAGGUCGGAUUAGCUAGUUGGUGGGGUAAAGGCCUACCAAGGCGACGAUCCGUAACUGGUCUGAGAGGAUGAUCAGUCACACUGGAACUGAGACACGGUCCAGACUCCUACGGGAGGCAGCAGUGGGGAAUAUUGGACAAUGGGCGAAAGCCUGAUCCAGCCAUGCCGCGUGUGUGAAGAAGGCCUUCGGAUUGUAAAGCACUUUAAGUUGGGAGGAGGGGCAGUAAGUUAAUACCUUGCUGUUUUGACGUUACCAACAGAAUAAGCACCGGCUAACUUCGUG